rnacentral:ncRNA from 1 species
CAAAGGUUUGGUCCUGGCCUUUCUAUUAGUCACCGGCAAACUUACACAUGCAAGAAUCCCCCUCCCAGUGAGAACGCCCUCCAUACCAUUCCGGUAAAAAGGAGCAGGCAUCAGGCACACCCCUAAAGUAGCCCAUAACGCCUCGCCCAGCCACACCCCCACGGGACACAGCAGUGAUAAAAAUUAAGCAAUAAAUGAAAGUUUGACUAAAUUAUGCCACUCAGGCCCGGUAAACAUCGUGCCAGCCACCGCGGUCAUACGAUUGGGCCAAACUAAUAGACACCCGGCGUAAAGCGUGUUUUAGAGUAUGAACAAAUAAUAAAAUUAAACGUUAACUAAGCUGUAAAAAGCCCUAGUUAUUGUAAGAUAAGCUACGAAAGUGAUUUUAAAACCCUGAACACACGACAACUAAGACCCAAACUGGGAUUAGAUACCCCACUAUGCUUAGUCUUAAACAUAAAAAAUUCCUCAAACAAAAUUAUUCGCCAGAGUACUACCCGCAAUUGCUCAAAACUCAAAGGACCUGGCGGUACCUUACAUCCCUCUAGAGGAGCCUGUUCUAUAAUCGAUAAACCCCGAUCUACCUCACCAACCUUUGCCAACUCAGCCUAUAUACCGCCAUCUUCAGCAAACCCUAAAAAGGAUGCAAAGUAAGCACAAUCAUCUACAUAAAAACGUUAGGUCAAGGUGUAGCCUAUAGGUUGGGAAGAAAUGGGCUACAUUCCCCGAAGCGGGGAAUACUUACGAAAACCUAUGUGAAAUCAAAAGUUAAAGGUGGAUUUAGCAGUAAAUUAAGAAUAGAGAGCUUAAUUGAAUAUGGCCAUAAGGUACGCACACACCGCCCGUCACCCUCCUCAAAUAAAACAAUACCUACCAUACAAAUAAUUAAUCCCCAGGCAUUAAAUCUAUGAGAGGAGAUAAGUCGUAACAAGGUAAGUGUACUGGAAAGUGCACUUGGAUAACA